AUUGAACGCUGGAGGUAUGCUUAACACAUGCAAGUCGAACGCGAACGUUACUUCGGUAACAAGUAGAGUGGCGGACGGGUGAGUAACGCGUAGGAAUCUACCUAAGUGUGGGGGAUAACAUGGAGAAAUUCAUGCUAAUACCGCAUACGCCCCACGGGGUAAAGAGGGCCUCUUCUUGAAAGCUCUUGCAUUUAGAUGAGCCUGCGUCGGAUUAGCUAGUUGGUGAGGUAAUGGCUUACCAAGGCGACGAUCCGUAGCUGGUCUGAGAGGAUGAUCAGCCACACUGGGACUGAGACACGGCCCAGACUCCUACGGGAGGCAGCAGUGGGGAAUAUUGGACAAUGGGCGCAAGCCUGAUCCAGCAAUACCUCGUGUGUGAAGAAGGCCCUAGGGUUGUAAAGCACUUUUUCAAUUUGGGACGAAGAUUGUAAAAUUAAUACUUUUAUAAUUUGACGGUACCUUUAGAAGAAGCACCGGCUAACUCCGUGCCAGCGCCGCGGUAA
rnacentral:rRNA from 1 species